rnacentral:rRNA from 1 species
AUUGAACGCUGGCGGCAUGCCUUACACAUGCAAGUCGAACGGUAACGCGGGGCAACCUGGCGACGAGUGGCGAACGGGUGAGUAAUGCAGCGGAACGUGCCCAGUAGUGGGGGAUAGCCCGGCGAAAGCCGGAUUAAUACCGAAUACGACCUACGGGUGAAAGCGGGGGACCGGAAGGCCUCGCGCGCUUGGACCGGCCGAUGUCAGAUUAGGUUGGUGGUGGGGUAAAAGCCUACCAAGCCGACGAUCUGUAGCUGGUCUGAGAGGACGACCAGCCACACUGGGACUGAGACACGGCCCAGACUCCUACGGGAGGCAGCAGUGGGGAAUUUUGGACAAUGGGGGCAACCCUGAUCCAGCCAUGCCGCGUGCGGGAAGAAGGCCUUCGGGUUGUAAACCGCUUUUGUCAGGGAAGAAACGCGCUGAGCUAAUAUCUCGGCGUAAUGACGGUACCUGAAGAAUAAGCACCGGCUAACUACGUGCCAGCAGCCGCAGUAACAC